UGCCAGACUCCUACGGGAGGCAGCAGUGGGGAAUAUUGGGCAAUGGGCGAAAGCCUGACCCAGCAAUGCCGCGUGAAUGAAGAAGGUCUUAGGAUUGUAAAAUUCUGUCCUAUGGGAAGAAACAAAUGACGGUACCAUAGGAGGAAGCCCCGGCUAACUACGUGCCAGCAGCCGCGGUAAUACGUAGGGAGCGAGCGUUGUCCGGAAUUACUGGGUGUAAAGGGAGCGUAGGCGGGACUGCAAGUUGGGUGUCAAAUCUACCGGCUCAACCGGUAGCCGCACUCAAAACUGCAGUUCUUGAGUGAAGUAGAGGCAGGCGGAAUUCCUAGUGUAGCGGUGAAAUGCGUAGAUAUUAGGAGGAACACCAGUGGCGAAGGCGGCCUGCUGGGCUUUUACUGACGCUGAGGCUCGAAAGUGUGGGGAGCAAACAGGAUUAGAUACCCUAGUAUU
rnacentral:rRNA from 1 species